rnacentral:misc_RNA from 1 species
UCAAACUUGGUCAUUUAGAGGAAGUAAAAGUCGUAACAAGGUUUCCGUAGGUGAACCUGCGGAAGGAUCAUUACCGAACCUUCACGGGGGACCGGGGGCGAGUGCGUCCUGCGCCAUUCGAGCUGCGGACGCGCGAGCCGCCUCCCUCGCAUCCAACCCAAACCCCUGUGCACCCUCUCGUGGCGAGGGGCAGCCGUCCGCGGCUGCUCCGGCCCGCGUUGCAUUGACACACGAUGUUCUUUGUAGUGCAGCUUGCGAGCUUAGACUCGCCUGAAAACAAUGAAACAACUUUCAACAACGGAUCUCUUGGCUCUCGCAUCGAUGAAGAACGCAGC